AAAAGACAACAAUAUCAAAAAUGCACGUGAAAUGAGGAUUGGUAAAUGGGUAUUAAAAAAAACAAAAAAACAAAAUGAAUGGACAUGCAAAAAAUAUAUAAGAAUUUGUCAACUCCCUUAAGAAUAAAAUAAUUUUUAUAUAAAAAAUAUAUAAUUUUAUAUGUAUAUAUAAAUAAUUUCUAAACAUUAAUUAAAAUUUUGUAGUGGGUUAAACUCACUUUUAAGACUGAUUAAAAGUGGGUUAGAACUAAUCAAUAAGCAUAGGUCAAAUUGACAAGCAUCCUUCUUGAGAAGACUUCAAUCCUGUCUUGGAGCUACCAUGAAGUUUGAGGAUCGGUUUCCACAUAGAAGAAAAAAGAGUAUUAAAAAGAAAGUUGGAGGUGCAGAACGAGAGACUAUGAUAGUGUUAUUGCCUCAUGCAGUGUCAACAUUACAUGUUAGUGUUUGGAAUUAUCUUUAUAUUCUUAACUUACUAAAUUGAGUCUGAG
rnacentral:sRNA from 1 species